rnacentral:tRNA from 1 species
GGAGAGGUGGCAGAGCGGUUGAUUGCACCGGUCUUGAAAACCGGCAGACUCUCACGAGUCUCGGGAGUUCGAAUCUCCCCCUCUCCGCCA